rnacentral:rRNA from 1 species
UAGGGAAUAUUGCACCAUGGGCGAAAGCCUGAUGCAGCAACGCCGCGUGAGUGAUGAAGGCCUUCGGGUCGUAAAACUCUUUUCAAGGGGAAGAGGGAGGACGGUACCCUUGGAAUAAGCAUCGGCUAACUACGUGCCAGCAGCCGCGGUAACACGUAGGAUGCGAGCGUUAUCCGGAUUUACUGGGCGUAAAGCGCGUGUAGGCGGUUGAGAAAGUUGGAUGUGAAAGCUCCCGGCUUAACUGGGAGAGGUCGUUCAAAACUUCUUGACUUGAGUUUGGUAGAGGAAAAUGGAAUUCCGGGUGUAGUGGUGAAAUGCGUAGAUAUCCGGAGGAACACCAGUGGCGAAAGCGAUUUUCUGGACCAAUACUGACGCUCAGACGCGAAAGCUAGGGUAGCAAACGGGAUUAGAGACCCCGGUAGUCCUAGCUGUAAACGAUGUAGACUUGGCGUUGGAGGAGUAAAAUCUUUCAGUGCCGAAGCAAACGCGAUAAGUCUACCGCCUGGGGACUACGGCCGCAAGGCUA